UGGAAAAUAUAUUUGAGAAUAUAUGAAAAUAGACACUCCAUAGAUAUUUAAAUUGGUGUGACUUUUUUGGAGUCAAUUUUGUAAUAUCUUAAAACAUUUCAAUGCAAACCUGGACCUAUUAUUCUCCUUUCCAGGAUUUUAUCCUACAAAAGCACCUGAUGAACAUAAAAAGAUAGCAGUAGAUAUGUCACUCUGACAUGUGUGCAUAAGUGUGUGUCAAUGAAACAAAUAACUGUGUAAACAAAAUAUAAUCUGUAAACUACCUGUAUCGCCUGUAUAUGUCUCAAUGUGGUGCUGCUCAAAUUUAUGUAUAUUCAAGAAAAGGAAUUUUAUAUAGCAACUAAAAAGUGGACUGAUCUCUGAUAUGCUGAUAACUAAAAAAAGCAAGUUCAGACUUGGUUCAGACUUGUUUUUAUGCUUUUAUGCAUUUAUGUCACAAGUUAUAUACCAUAAGUAGGAAAACGUUCUUGUAUAUUCAUAGACAACUUCUGAUAGAAUGAAUAAGAAAUUAUUAACAGUGAUUACCUUCUGGGAGUUAGAUUGAAGUAAGUGAAGGAAGAGAGGAAGAAUUUACUUUUUAUUCUGUUAGCUUCUGUACCUUUGGAAUUCGUUCCCCUCCCAAUAAUAUUUUUUUAUGAAAAACUUCAAACAUACAGGAUAUUUAAAAAAGACUGGACAGUGAAAAUGAAUAAAUUCACCACCUAGAUGCUGUAAUGAAUAUUUGCUGUAAUAGCUUUAUCACUAAAUUAAAAACAAGGAUGAUGAAUUAUUUUUAUAAAUUUAGUAAUUAGAGCUUAGCAGGAAGAGUAUAUUAGAGUAAUUAGAUAGCAAAAUCAAAAAAAUGCAUAAAUCUGCUAGAAGAGAAAACUAAAUGGGAUAAUGUGAUAAAUAUAAGGAGUUUUUAGGAGCACAAACUUCAAGGUAACAAUUCUGUGCAAGAGGAGAGGCAGAGGCUCUGGACCUUAGGAGGGGUUUCCUGCCUGCAGUUCUUCAGACCUGAGAUCAAGGGAGGAUGAUCUCAGAGAAGAGAAAGCUCCAAGCAGGUAGCUUUUGGCUCACCUCUAAGCCUCUUCUCAGACGAGCCAGAUGGUAGUCAGCAGGGAAACUUGCUAAAAAGCAUUUGACCCUCACAAACCGUAUCUUUGUGUGUGGAAAUGAAAGACUUUAACAAAAGCGUAAACCAGUGGAUCUGAUUUGGAUCUGAAUGAGACCUGGAGAGGAGAAUUUAGUUUUGUUUUGUCUUGUUUUUUAAACAUCCUAGUUAUUCAACACUGAGCUACUGCUCUGUGCGUAAACCUUGAUUCAGUAAAAAAGAGUUGAAGUCCAGAAAUCUGAAUUUUUAACAAGUACCCGGUGACUUCAUUGCAGGUGAGGACAUAGUUAGAAUUGUAAACACAGCCACAGAUUGGAUAUGGGAGUCAAAUGCGAAGAGGAGGUCAUGUUCACCCCAAGGCAGCCAGGCUGGUGGAUGAAGUGAACACAACAGCCACUGUAUCUUCUUGCCUUCAACAAGGUGCAUGACAUGACCUCUUCAAUGUGCUUAUCACCAUCAAGUAAGAGAAAUACAGUCUUAGAUUCAAAGCAUUGCUAAGAACCUGUCUGAUGGUCAGCUCAACAUAACACAUGUUCAUGAGUAAAUGAUGGGAAGGUGAAGAAAAGUCCUGGGGCUCCCCUGCAUGGCACACCAGAUUUAGCUGAUCCUGGCUCUGGAAGCAUGAGAGAAAGGAUUUCUUCAAAACAAAUUCUGAGAGGAAUGGAGAGUUUUAGUUUAAUGGGUAGUAUUUCAUUUUGGCAAGAUAAAAAGGUUCUGGAGAUUGGUUGCACAACAACGUGAAUAUGCUUAAUUUAACACUGCCAAAUUGUUCACCUGAAAAUGGUUAAGAUGGCAAAUUUUAUGUUUUGUGUAUUUCACCAUAAUUAAACGUUAAAAAAAAGUUUGGAUGAUGAGGAAGAGGACAUAUGAGCACAAGACAUUGUAAGUGACCUAAUGACCUCUCACCUGUGACAAGCAGAGAUAAUAUCCAUGACAACUGGCUACUCACACUUGGUGUUUUUCCUUUUAGGUGCACUGUGUUUCAGAUUCUAUCUUGUUUGAUUUUUUGACUAACCCUAUGAAUGGAAGGCAUUUUUUCUCCUGCAUUUUAAAGACCUAGAAACUAAGAUGAAAAGAAGUGAACUGAACACUGGGGGUCUGCUGGGUCACUGCCAAGACUGGUGGUCAGCUGUCUGGUGUUAACCACAUAGGCUGGGCUCAUGAUCUCAUGAUGUCUUGUCCUACCGGUGGUGCUUCAGGCCCAGAGAAAGCCACUCUGCUCCUGCUUGGGGCUCUGGGGACUGGUCCACUAUGCUGCUGUUAGGAGGUCAUCUUGGAUGAACAGGAGAGGAAGAGUUUUCUCUCAGGGAUGGCGCCUGUCCUCUGUCUGGAUGAUCUUCUCAAGCAGCUAGUCUCCUAUUUGGUGGGAGACACAUUGAAAUCUGUGGUGAGGGUCCCUUCUCCACUCACAUUUCCUUAUGCCAUUAUCAUCAUCAUCAUAUUAUAUCAUUUUUACAGGAGGCCCAGUGGAUCAUGGAGCCGGAGUGGUUUCGACUGUACAGUGGCAGCGUUUAUAUCUACUUGUCCUUGUCAGUGUGGCCAGCACUCAGGUCCAGGUGUCACACAGACAACCUCUGAGUGGACAUACAACAACCUCAUGCACAUUAUAAAUGCCACAUUCUAACCCAACUUCAGCUGAGUCAAUUGAAUCACAGGAUUGCAAACUGAUAGCUCCUGUAUUGCCCAAACGUUGUCCCUGUGAGCCUCAGCUGAUGCAGUGCUGGCCACUGUAACACAGCUGCCUUUAAACCAACUGAGAGAAUUCUAUUUUGAAUGCCAACAAAGUCUAGAUUUGGGAGUAAGGCAGUGACUUCUAAUUCUUCCCUUGCAGCUGCCCAGGAGACCAAGUUUCCCAGCCUCCCUGGCAGCUGGGUAUGGCCAUGAGACUGAGUGUUGACCAAUAGGAUGUGAGCAGGAAUAGCAACUUCUAAAUGGACUUUGUUUAAGAAAGUCACCUUUAUUUCUUCUCUGCUCUUUUCCAUGAACUUGUCUCGUGAGUUAGACUCAAUCACGCUGCCUUGGGUCAUUCCCUAGGGCAGGAUUUUCUCAAACUUUUUGGUCUUAGGACUUCUUCAGACUCUGAAAAAUUAUUGAGGAAUCCCAACUAGCUGUUGUUUCUAUGGGCAUAUUUACUGUAUUUAAAAAGUAGAACUAAAAAAAAUUGUAUUAAUUAUUAAGUCAUUUAAAGCUAACUAUAAUAAACCUAUUAUAUAGUAACAUAAUAUUACAUAUUAACAUAGAAGAACAUUUUAAUGAAAACUAGCCAUAUUGAAAAAUUUAAGCUAUGUAUUAAUUCAUUUAAAAUAAUUAUAAUAAAACUGGUAUGUGUUAAUAUAAGAACAUAUUUUAUUAAAAUAUUUUAGUUUCCUAGACAAAAAGUCAGUGAGAAGAGGGGAAUUGUUUUACAUUUUUCAAAUCACCUAAUGUUUGGCUUAAAAAAACCAGCUGUGUUCUCACAUAUGCUUCUGCAUGAACUCUGCUGGGACAGACUCUUUUGCUUGCAGUCUGUGAGGAAGAACCAGCCUCACACAGAUAGUAGCUGGGAAAGGAAGGAGUAUUCUAGUAGCCAUUUAAAAAAAUGUUAUUCUUCUUUGAUACUGCAACAGAUAUAAGUGAUAGUUUCUUAAAGGUUAGUUGCAAUGUGAAGUCUGAAACUUGUAUCAAGUGCCUUUCAUACUCAGGUACAUGAAGAAUCUACUGGUCUGUUUUGCACUUUAAAUGGAUCUUUUACCCAUUCAUGACCUUACAAUAUUGCCUCACUGAGUUGCAUAGACCUUUCAAAUGUUGACACAUUUUAUUAAACAACAUUAAAACAUCCCAACUGUUCACAUCAACACCAAUCUCAGAAAAAAAAAAAAAUGGUAGUAACAUAAAGAUAGUAAAAAUUCUUUAAGUACUGGGAAGCUGUCAAGUUCAAGGUACAGGUACAGAUUUUCCAAAAUGGUAAUUUUUGCUUCAAAGCUCAAAUUUUGUAAUUGGCAGCAAAUACUGUCAGUUGUUUUUCUUGAUUUGCCUUUUAAAUGUUCACAAAGAUGUCUGUCAAACACCCAAAUCUGAAUAAGAAUAUUUGUCUUUCAGCUAUUCUUUGAAGUGAAAAUCAUGAUUCAUGGAGAAAAUAAAAGUAGCUAGCUCUCCUUGAAGUGCAAAAUUUCACAAGUGCUUUUCUUGGAGACAAAUACAUUACCUUGGAAUUCAUCAGACUUGACACAUACUGCCAAAUUCAUUACCCAAAGUAUUAUGAAGAAUCAAGAAUUAAUAACGUUAAUACUUCUUGCUGCUUCAUCAAAGGAAUUUUAGAGUGAAUCUGGCUUUUCUACCUUGUGAUUGUGUGGCAGUUAAGAAUACAGUGAAUGCUAGUCCGCUUGGGCUUUCUGGUGUCCCUGCCUUGAUUGAGGCCAGCGGUUUUAUCUACCAUUGCUUGUGUAACAUUAGUUUAAGUAUCAGUGCGGUGAAAAAGGCAAGAUAUCUUAGUAUCAUUACGAAAAUAGUUCUGACCUAUGCUCUGCCCGAAUGGGUCUCUAGGAUUCCAGUGUUGCAAUACAAGGGAAGGUCAAGGCCUUCACGUUCUUGAAAACUUCCCCAGUGUCCAUGUGGAGCUGCAACAAGAAGUUAAAUGCAAUGUCAUUGUGGGGGGGGUGGGUGGGCACCCACAGAACCUAGUCUUAUGACCUACUGUUUCUGAGUGUUCUUUAUUCCUAGCUGAGCUAAACUGUCUGGAAUGGGAAAGUGAGUGUCUUAUAAAACCGUUUUUUCAGGGCCUGGGAAGAAGGGGCAGGGCAGCAUGAGGCAGGAACUGGUGGCUGGCCAGAGUCCCUGCAGCCCCAAGCUUGCUGGGCAGUGUAAUGGAGCACGUUCCAGUGUUUCUGAAAACCUGGAGACAAGGGAUGCCAGGCAUUACUUUGCCUUGAAGCUCUUCCACCUAGGGAUUUAGCUUCUGCAG